CGUGUCAGAGGCGCGUUUACAAAGCUGCUGUUAGAAAUUCUGUAAAUGCACUAUCUGGUACGACA
rnacentral:pre_miRNA from 1 species